GUGGAACAUCAAAUAAUAGUAUUACCUGCCUACUCAGCUCUACUGUGGGCGCAUAGGUCUAGCACUUUAGUAACAAAGAAAAUAAAACUGAGUGACUAAUUGGCCCUCUAAAUAUAGUGAAGAUUGCAUAGUAUAGCGAUAUAGUGAGCAGUCAAGGAGCAUUAUGAUGCCAUUGUACAUCAAUCAUCUAGAAAUCAAUCUUUUAAAAAAAACCAUGAUUAAACAUUUUCAUAAGUUCACAGUCAUCUACAUAUAUUUAUGAAGCCAUGCAUUAUAAUUUCAACACUGGAUUCAGAAAAUUGUUUCUCAUAGGUUUCUACCCUAAAAUGGAUCAAACAUCUUGGUCCCACUUAUUGCACUAUUGAACACUGUGAUAACCUAUAGUGACUGGACUGUUACUACAUUAAAGUAUUAUUUCUUGACUUUAAGCAGCCACAUUUAAACUAUUGCAUGAAGAACUUGGUGCCUCCCUACCAAUUUUACUGCUUUUGGAAGGGAAUACUUGGCAUUGACUG
rnacentral:lncRNA from 1 species